UGAUAUAUUUUUCUUUUCAUUCAGUAGCUAGGAACUAAAAUACACAGGUCACAGGUUCGAGCCCAUGUUUUCACAAGCCAGAGGCCUUUGUAUUCACAUCAAAUAAUUUGUCAAGGUCAAAUUUCAUCACUAAUAUUUUCUUCUGCCAACAAAAUUUUUUUCCCUGUUGUGGCUAACUUUGUAACUUACUUUUUAAAGUAAACUAGUUUCAUAGAAUUUGCAACUUAAUAGAACUGAGAGAGAUGAGCCAACAUUCAUUAUAUAAAAGGAAAUUCUUGAAUUUGGUAUAUUGUGGGCUGUAAUUUUUCGAUGUAGAAGACUGGUGCAAGAUGAAUCCUUGUAAGUGUAAAUAUAUUGAUAAGGACUUCCCUGGUGGUGCAGAGGUUAAGAAUCCACCUGCCAAUGCAGGGGUCACAGGUUUGAGCCCUGGUCUGGGAAGAUCCCACAUGCCGCGGAGCAACUGAGCCUGUGUGCCACAACUACUGAGCCUACGCUCUAGAGCCCAUGAGCCACAACUACUGAGCCCGUGUGCCGCAACUACUGAAGCCCACGUGCCUAGAGCCCAUGCUCCGCAACAAGAGAAGCCACUGCAAUGAGAAGCCCACGCACCGCAACGAAGAGUAGCCCCCGCUCGCCACAACUAGAGAAAGCCCACGCACAGGAGGGAAGACCCAACACAGCCAAAAAUAAAAAUAAAUAAAUAAAAUAAAUUUAUUAAAAAAAAAAA